CCUACGGGUGGCAGCAGUGGGGGCUAUUGCACAAUGGGGGAAACCCUUAUGCAGCGACGCCGCGUGUGGGAAGACGGUCCUCUGGAUUGUAAACCACUGUCCCCAGGGACGAAGAUGACGGUACCUGGGGAGGAAGCUCCGGCUAACUACGUGCCAGCAGCCGCGGUAAUACGUAGGGAGCAAGCGUUGUCCUGAAUUACUGGGUGUAAAGGGAGCGUAGGCGGGAUGGCAAGUUGGGUGUUAAAUCUACCGGCUCAACUGGUAGUCGCACUCAAAACUGCUAUUCUUGAGUGAAGUAGAGGCAGGCUGAAUUCCUAGUGUAGCGGUGAAAUGCGUAGAUAUUAGGAGGAACACCAGUGGCGAAGGCGGCCUGCUGGGCUUUUACUGACGCUGAGGCUCGAAAGUGUGGGGAGCAAACAGGAUUAGAUACCCUUGUAGUC
rnacentral:rRNA from 1 species